AACGGUGGAUCACUUGGCUCGUACGUCGAUGAAAAACGAGGCGAGACUCGAAAGUUUAUGUGAAUUGCAGCCACGUUGAACAUAGAAAUUUUGAACGCACAUUGCGGUGUUGAGUUGACUCGACGCCGCGUCUGUCUGAGGGUCGUUACU
rnacentral:rRNA from 2 species